UAAAGUGGCGAACGGCUGAGUAACACGGUGGGCAACCUCGCCCUUUGCACUGGGAUAGCCUCGGGAAACCGAGGUUAAUACCGGAUACUCCAUAUUUGUCGCAUGGCGAAUAUGGGAAAGCUCCGGCGGCAAAGGAUGGGCCCGCGGCCUGUUAGCUAGUUGGUGGGGUAGUGGCCUACCAAGGCAAUGAUGGGUAGCCGGGUUGAGAGACCGACCGGCCAGAUUGGGACUGAGACACGGCCCAGACUCCUACGGGAGGCAGCAGAG
rnacentral:rRNA from 1 species